ACAGAGGUCCCGAGCGUUGUUCGGAUUCACUGGGCGUAAAGGGUGCGUAGGUGGUGGAGUAAGUUUGAUGUGAAAUCUCCGGGCUUAACCCGGAAACUGCAUUGAAUACUAUUCCGCUGGAGGUUUGGAGGGGGGACUGGAAUUCUCGGUGUAGCAGUGAAAUGCGUAGAUAUCGAGAGGAACACCAGUGGCGAGGGCGGCUCGCUGGACCGGUUCUGACGCUGAUGCGCGAAAGCGUGGGGAGCAAACGGGA
rnacentral:rRNA from 1 species